AAUUAGCCACGAUUGGAGCAUUGUUUGAGCUCUUUUAAUUUUUUUGAGGAUUGAGCGUUGGCAAAAAAAUUAAAAAGCGAGUGCGGAAAGCGUGUCUGAAA
rnacentral:misc_RNA from 1 species